AUUGAACGCUGGCGGCAGGCCUAACACAUGCAAGUCGAGCGGAUGAAGGGAGCUUGCUCCUGGAUUCAGCGGCGGACGGGUGAGUAAUGCCUAGGAAUCUGCCUGGUAGUGGGGGAUAACGUCCGGAAACGGGCGCUAAUACCGCAUACGUCCUGAGGGAGAAAGUGGGGGAUCUUCGGACCUCACGCUAUCAGAUGAGCCUAGGUCGGAUUAGCUAGUUGGUGGGGUGAAGGCCUACCAAGGCGACGAUCCGUAACUGGUCUGAGAGGAUGAUCAGUCACACUGGAACUGAGACACGGUCCAGACUCCUACGGGAGGCAGCAGUGGGGAAUAUUGGACAAUGGGCGAAAGCCUGAUCCAGCCAUGCCGCGUGUGUGAAGAAGGUCUUCGGAUUGUAAAGCACUUUAAGUUGGGAGGAAGGGCAGUAAGUUAAUACCUUGCUGUUUUGACGUUACCAACAGAAUAAGCACCGGCUAACUUCGUG
rnacentral:rRNA from 1 species